GAUAAUAAAUACUCAAAAACUAUUACCUAAUUAUUUUUUUCUUUUUUUUUUUUAACUUUUUAUCAGUACCAGGGAUCGAACUCACGACUGCCUGCUUGCAAGGCAGGUGCUUAUGCCGCUGAGCUAAAUCCCCAGCCCUACUACCUAAUUAUUUUAUUGCAUUUUACUCUCAUCUAUAUUCUGGAGGUUAUUUACAUAUCUUGUCCCUAUGUGCCCUUGUGUAUCUCUUCUCAUUUUUGCACUCAGAUACAACACAGUAAUAGCUUAAAUUAGCCCUAUAGAAUUCUGACCACAAAAAGUAGCAGAUGUAAAGAAUCAUGACUCUUUCCAGAGGUUAGCAGUAACCAAUGCUUAAAUUAUACCAACUUGUAGUUUAUUUUGAUUCCCUGUGCACCAUGAAAUCUGGGCUCAGGUAUUGACUACUGUGAGUGCAGUGGCCCUAGGAUACAAAAGCUGAGGCUUUGCAGUUGCAUGGCACCAAAUGAUUCUGUAGUUCUUAACAUCAUGUCCACAGUUUUAGCAGCAAGAAGAAUAAAGGAACAAUGAAAAUUAAGUUGCACCCAACUUUGUAAAGGACAUUUCCAAGAAGACUUCUGAGAUGCAAGAGCCAUCAGCCUGCUGGUGUGGACUUGCCUGAGACACUAGGGUGAGCUCCAGACCUUGGGUUGAAUCCUUCGGCCUCCGGAGUGUAGACACCUUCUGCAUGCUUCCUUAUCUGACUGUGUGGCUGACCAUCAAAAGCCAAUCUUGUCAUUUCUUACACAUUUGUAUAUCUCAUAUUAUAUCUCUUUUUUCUAGUAAAACCCUGACUAAUACAGAUUUUGGUACCAGGAGUGGGGUCAUUGCUAUGUUAUUACUUGAUCAUGUGACUGAAGAGCCUUGGAAAUUAAUUUGGAAAGUUUUUAAGAGACUGGCAAAGAAACAGUCCCUGUAUGCUGUAAACUAUAUUGGAGACUCUAGUCGGAGCCUUGAAAAAUCAGAGUACUGAUGGAAAUGCUGCCAUUUAAGAUGAAGCUCGGGAGGCUUCUGUUGAGAAGGACUGCAGUGGCUGCUGGAGUUCAGGCAGUAUACUGCAUUUUGACUGAAAGUUUGUCUUCAUUUUGCUUGUACUUAGAAAUGUUACAUUGUGGCAGGAAAAUUUCAGUGCAUUCUAUUGUUGGGAUGGUAGCAUAGUUACUUCUGAGAGCUUUUGGCCAGAUCUAUGUUGGAAAUUUAGAGCAAAGAGCCAGUAGAGGAAUUUAAAACACUUGGCCAAGAAGAAGGCUCCAUUGGAACUGUGGGUUGCAAAGAUGAAACAAAGGAGAACACAGUUUUUAGAAGAAUAGGACAAUGGAAAAAUGAAGAGCAUGUUUGAAUUGCAAGAGAUUCUUAUAGUUUGAUCUUGCCAUACCACUUUAAAGGUUAAUGGGAAGCAAGGGCUGUAAUUGUAAUUUUCUUUUAGUUUGAUUUUAAUAUUGUUUUAUAUGUUUGUAGCCAGGUUAAUUAAUCAGGUUAGUUAAUCAAAAUAUUUUAUUGCUGAACUUUGGUCACCCUUUAAAUAUUUUGUUUUUACUAUUCUGCUUAAAUGGUUAUGUUUUGAUCUGCGCUGUUUUGCUGUUAUGCCUUCUUUUAUCUCAAUCUCCACUUCAUUAUUUAAUUUUUUAUUUUUAUCCUUUUAAUUAAGGGAAAAAUAAAUAAAAAAUAGCAGGGUAUAUUAUAGUAACCUACUUUGACUUUCCAUUAUCUUGAUUUAAAGCCCUGUAUUACUCUCACCAUCUUGUUUUUGACUGAUGUCCCCCUAUUCUGUUUUGCUUGAUAGUACCAGGUUCGAAAGUUUAGGCAACAGCUGUGAAGAUAGUGAGAUUCAUUAUGACGUCCAUUCUCGUUGACUAUUAUCUACUUUUGAAGACCUAUAAUGUCUCCAAUGUUUUGGUUUUGUCGGUUUUGUUCAAUUUUAUUAUAACUGAUGAUACAGGCAAUUCUAUUAGAGAUAGUGGGAGGCAUUAUGGUAACCAUUGUUGAUCACCUUGUAUUAUGCUUUUACAUUAUCUAUUAUGUCCACCCUUUUGAUUUGACUGACUCUGUUCUGUUAUGUCACAUUUGGUUCUACUCCCUUCCAAAAAAGUAAUAAGAACUGUGGGAGCAACAAAACCCAAAAUGUGUAAUUGUCAUUGUACAAAAGAGAGGAAAAGAAAGUGCUCUAAACGAUAUAACUGCAUGUAUAGUUAAGUGUAUAAGAUAGAUAAUGAUAUCACUGAGUUUUGUUGGAUCAUUGAACAGAACUGUUUGCAGUCUCAUUGUUGGAAUGUCCACUUUACAAGCUUUAAUUUUGUGACUUAAUUAUUUCUAAGAUGACAAUAUGUAAUCCAUUAAUAGUGAUUUCCUACUGUUUAUUUUUUUUCUGUAAAUCUGUAUAACUUGUACCCUUUCUCUGCUUUUUUUUCUCCUUAAAUAAAAUUUAAAAAAUAAAAAUAAAAAUAAAUAUUUUGUUUUUGGUGCAGGAAGAAGUAUAAAAAGAAUUGUAUAUAUGUAAUCAUUGUUUUAAUGUAAAUCUGAAAAGACUAAUAUAUGUUAACUUUUCACAAAUCUGUCACUAAAGACUAUAGUUAAGAAAAUGUGUGUAUUUGUUAACUUGACCAGGGGUGGAUUGUUAUGGAUUAAAAACUGGUGAUCAACCUAACGUCAGCUGGAUUAUACCAGUAUGAUGCUGAAAGUAGAUCUACCUGAGGAAGUUGAAUGAUGCUGAAAGUUCUACCUGAGGAAGGUUGCCAGCAUAAAUAGAGACAUGGAGAAGGAGAAAGGAGGCGUUGAGGCAUUGAAGCAUUGUGGGUUUCUUACAUGUUGCUGUUUGAGUCAUUGCUUCUCCUGGAAAAGCUCUGGUCCUCACAUCAAGCUUCCUGGCUGUGGAAGGGAAGACCUGUGCCACUUAAUCUCCAGGAUGAACUUGUCACGCUGGCUUCCUGGCAUGUACUCGACUGUGAUUAUCAUUGGAGGAGCUCGGGGCUUCCUUGUCGCUGAGGAUGGCUGUGGUGCUUUUCAGGACAGCCCAGAUUUUUGUUUUGAGUGUGACUUCUCAGCUCCAGCGUAGAACCCUCAACCUACCAGCACAGCUCCUUUACCCUGCUGGCAUAGACUUUCUAGCUUCCACCGCUGAUCUUUGGGCCUUCACAGCACAGAUCUGUGAAAGAGAUUGGUGUGAGUCCUUCUUGUGGGCUCUGGACCUUCCGUUGGACUUGUGAGAAGCAUUGUCAUGAGCUGUAGAUCUUCAUCUGUACUCACGUGGGACAUUGCUAUGGGAUUCAGGCCCUUGGUUAAGUAUGCUAUGUCUUUAGUGUUAUGGAUAGAUUUCCUGCAUUUUCUUGUGUUCAUUCUGGGUAACCAUCAUAAAAUAAUAUUUUAAACUCCA